UACGGAGGGUGCAAGCGUUAUCCGGAUUUACUGGGUUUAAAGGGUGCGUAGGUGGACUUGUAAGUCAGUGGUGAAAUCUCCGAGCUUAACUCGGAAACUGCCAUUGAUACUAUAAGUCUUGAAUGUUCUGGAGGUGAGCGGAAUAUGUCAUGUAGCGGUGAAAUGCUUAGAUGUGACACAGAACACCGAUUGCGAAGGCAGCUCACAAAACUGUAACUGACGCUGAGGCACGAAAGCGUGGGGAUCAAACAGG
rnacentral:rRNA from 1 species